rnacentral:rRNA from 1 species
GACGAACGCUGGCGGCGUGGAUUAGGCAUGCAAGUCGGACGGUAGGACUUUAUCGUAAGAUAGAGUUUGAGAGUGGCGAACGGGUGAGUAAUACGUAGGAAUCUACCCUUAAGACGGGGACAACCCAGGGAAACUUGGGCUAAUACCGGAUGCGAGUGUAUGAGAGUACAUUUAAAAGGAUGGUGAAAGCUAUCGCUUAGGGAUGAGCCUGCGGUCUAUUAGCUAGUUGGUGGGGUAAGAGCUCACCGAGGCGAUGAUAGAUAGGCGGCCUUAACGGGUGGUCGCCCACACUGGGAUUGAGAUACGGCCCAGACUCCUACGGGAGGCAGCAGUUGGGAAUCUUAGGCAAUGGACGAAAGUCUGACCUAGCGACGCCGCGUGAGGGAAGAAGGCCUUCGGGUUGUAAACCUCUGUCAUGGGGAAGAAGGAAGUGACGGUACCCCAAGAGGAAGCCCCUGCUAACUACGUGCCAGCAGCCGCGGUAAUCGAUACUCGUA